UACGGAAGGUGCAAGCGUUGUUCGGAUUGACUGGGCGUAAAGAGCACGUAGGCGGGUUCGUAAGUCGAUUGUGAAAUCCCCGGGCUUAACCUGGGAACUGCAGUCGAAACUACGAGUCUUGAAUACCUGAGAGGUUAAUGGAAUUCCUAGUGUAGGAGUGAAAUCCGUAGAUAUUAGGAGGAACACCAGAGGCGAAGGCG
rnacentral:rRNA from 1 species